GACGAACGCUGGCGGCGUGCUUAACACAUGCAAGUCGAACGCUGAAGCUCAGCUUUUGUUGGGUGGAUGAGUGGCGAACGGGUGAGUAACACGUGAGUAACCUGCCUCCUUCUUUGGGAUAACGCCCGGAAACGGGUGCUAAUACUGGAUAUUCACUGGUCUUCGCAUGGGGGUUGGUGGAAAGGGUUUUUCUGGUGGGGGAUGGGCUCGCGGCCUAUCAGCUUGUUGGGGGGGUGAUGGCCUACCAAGGCUUUGACGGGUAGCCGGCCUGGGAGGGUGACCGGUCACAUUGGGACUGAGGUACGGCCCAGACUGCUACGGGAGGCAGCAGUGGGGAAUAGUGCGCAAUGGGCGCAAGCGUGAUGCAGAGGCGCCGCGGGAGGGAUGGAGGCCUUCGGGUUGUGAACCUCUUUCGCUCAUGGUCAAGCCGCAACAAUGGUUGUGGUGAGGGUAGUGGGUAAAGAAGCGCCGGCUAACUACGUG
rnacentral:rRNA from 1 species